AUGAAUUAUUGCAAUUUACUAGUCUGGAAUGUCAGGGGUCUAAAUUCGGUUGCUCGAAGAGCUGCUGUUCGUGCGGUUGUUAGGCAUAAUGUUGUCUGUAUGAUUUGUUUGCAAGGAACAAAGAUGUCAACCUUUAAUUCGAGUCUGGUCUCUGAAAUAUGUGGUCCUAGCUUCAUUGGCUUUGCUUUCUCCCCCUCUGAAGGUGCUAUUGGAGGUUUGCUUGUUGCGUGGACGGAUGACUUGUCUGUUAGCUCCACCCAGUGUUCUAAAUCCUUCAUCUCUGCUAAAUGUACCAAUGUUGCAACCGGGGUCUCUUGGCAUCUCAUCAACGUGUAUGGUCCUCAGGCUCAUCUGGACAAGAUUGCAUUCCUUGCUGAACUACAAUUGAUGUGCCUGAACUCUGCUGAUGCACUUGUUAUUUUGGAUGAUUUUAAUUUGAUUGCUUCUGCUGCUGAUAAGAACAAUAGCAGCAUCCAUAGGGGAUUGCUCAAUACCUUUAGAAACUUCACUACUGUGCUUGAGCUAAAGGAUAUGUAUCUUCAUGGCCGUAGGUAUACUUGGAGUAAUGAGCAGUUCAAUACUACUCCCUCUGUCCCGAAAUGUAAGACGUUUUUUGAUACUAUGCUAGUAUCAAAAAACAUCUUGCAUUUCGGGACGAUGGGAGUACUUUUGUAA
rnacentral:rRNA from 1 species